rnacentral:rRNA from 1 species
GCGCCAAUAGCCCAGGCUGUGAAUUGGCACUUGUGUCGAAUUGUGGAAUGCUGGUCAGUCUGUCCAACUUGCGGACCAAGUCCCCUGGAAUGGGGCAGCACAGAGGGUGAGACUCCCAUACGUCUGCGGGUGUGAAGGCUGUCCGAAGAGUCGAGUUGUUUGGGAUUGCAGCUCUAAGUGGGUGGUAAAUUCCAUCCAAGGCUAAAUACUGGUGAGAGACUGAUAGCAUACAAGUACCGUGAGGGAAAGAUGCAAAGCCGCACGAGAGCUCUGUCAAAGAGUACCUGAAAUUGCUGAAAAGGAAGCGAAGGAAACCAGUGCUAUCCACCCCGCACUUCCCCAACUGCUUGCAGCUGGGUCGC